rnacentral:lncRNA from 1 species
GCUUCUCUUUGGUUGUUAUGGCUGCUGUCUUCUCCUUCAUUCAGUUUGCGUCCCAUUUGGGCUGCGCCAAGAUUUAGAUACACCAUUCUUGAAUCAAGGUUAAGGUUCGCCAUGUUUCCACUGCUCGUGCUACUGCAGGCAUGAUCUUCAGUACUCAUUGGAGGAUAAAUUGUGGUGGAAGAAGGUGCAUUGGCAUUGCCCUCCUCGCGGGAAAUUACCAAGGCAGCAGAUUGGACGAGCUCCAGGCAAAGCCUCAACUUGUUUGGUUAUAUCUCCAUGAAUAUCGAACAAACUUUUGCAAGCUAGUUUAAUCAGAGCCCCAUUUCAUGGAAAUAUUGUUCAAUAUAGAGAAAGAGGAAUUGAAGUGUAGUUGAGUUAAUACUGAUGAUCAUGGGAGUGAUGAUACAUUGAAGGGUCAUGUCGAUUCAUGGCUUCUCUUUGGUUGUUAUGGCUGCUGUCUUCUCCUUCAUUCAGUUUGCGUCCCAUUUGGGCUGCGCCAAGAUUUAGAUACACCAUUCUUGAAUCAAGGUUAAGGUUCGCCAUGUUUCCACUGCUCGUGCUACUGCAGGCAUGAUCUUCAGUACUCAUUGGAGGAUAAAUUGUGGUGGAAGAAGGUGCAUUGGCAUUGCCCUCCUCGCGGGAAAUUACCAAGGCAGCAGAUUGGACGAGCUCCAGGCAAAGCCUCAACUUGUUUGGUUCAAUGUGUGUGAGUCCGGGCACAGCCCCUUUGAAGAGAAAAUCAGAAGUUAGGGUUCGAAGGACAU